GAUCUGGUUCAGGAUGAACGCUGGCGGCGUGCCUAACACAUGCAAGUCGAACGAAGCACUUCUGGUUUGAGAUUCGUCAAGAACUGGAUUUGACUUAGUGGCGGACGGGUGAGUAAUGUAUGAGCAACCUGCCUUUCAGAGGGGGACAACAGUUGGAAACGACUGCUAAUACCGCAUAAAGUAUUUUAAGGGCAUCCUUGAAAUACCAAAGGAGCAAUCCGCUGAAAGAUGGGCUCAUAUCUGAUUAGUUAGUUGGCAGGGUAAUGGCCUACCAAGACUGCGAUCAGUAGCCGGACUGAGAGGUUGAACGGCCACAUUGGGACUGAGAUACGGCCCAGACUCCUACGGGAGGCAGCAGUGGGGAAUAUUGGGCAAUGGGCGAAAGCCUCGACCCAGCAACGCCGCGUGAAGGAAGAAGGUCUUCGGAUUGUAAACUUCUUUUAUGAGGGACGAAGGACGUGACGGUACCUCAUGAAUAAGCCACGGCUAACUACGUGCCAGCAGCCGC
rnacentral:rRNA from 1 species